rnacentral:rRNA from 1 species
UACAGAGGUCCCAAGCGUUGUUCGGAUUCACUGGGCGUAAAGGGUGCGUAGGCGGUCGGGUAAGUCUGACGUGAAAUCUUCAAGCUCAACUUGGAAACUGCGUCGGAUACUAUUCGGCUAGAGGAAUGGAGGGGAGACUGGAAUACUUGGUGUAGCAGUGAAAUGCGUAGAUAUCAAGUGGAACACCAGUGGCGAAGGCGAGUCUCUGGACAUUUCCUGACGCUGAGGCACGAAAGCCAGGGGAGCGAACGGG